UACAGAGGGUGCAAGCGUUAAUCGGAAUUACUGGGCGUAAAGCGCACGUAGGCGGUUUUUUAAGUCAGAUGUGAAAGCCCCGGGCUCAACCUGGGAAUUGCAUUUGAAACUGGGAAACUAGAGUGUGUGAGAGGGGGGUAGAAUUCCAAGUGUAGCGGUGAAAUGCGUAGAGAUUUGGAGGAAUACCAGUGGCGAAGGCGGCCCCCUGGCACAA
rnacentral:rRNA from 1 species